GAUGAACGCUGGCGGCGUGCCUAAUACAUGCAAGUCGAGCGAACGGACUAGAAGCUUGCUUCUCUGAUGUUAGCGGCGGACGGGUGAGUAACACGUGGAUAACCUACCUAUAAGACUGGGAUAACUUCGGGAAACCGGAGCUAAUACCGGAUAAUAUUUUGAACCGCAUGGUUCAAAAGUGAAAGACGGUCUUGCUGUCACUUAUAGAUGGAUCCGCGCCGCAUUAGCUAGUUGGUAAGGUAACGGCUUACCAAGGCAACGAUGCAUAGCCGACCUGAGAGGGUGAUCGGCCACACUGGAACUGAGACACGGUCCAGACUCCUACGGGAGGCAGCAGUAGGGAAUCUUCCGCAAUGGGCGAAAGCCUGACGGAGCAACGCCGCGUGAGUGAUGAAGGUCUUCGGAUCGUAAAACUCUGUUAUUAGGGAAGAACAUAUGUGUAAGUAACUGUGCACAUCUUGACGGUACCUAAUCAGAAAGCCACGGCUAACUACGUG
rnacentral:rRNA from 1 species